UACCACUCUCUGCAUCUGCUGCACGCAGGGGACGAUCCCACAAGGCCUUGUACGUCAUCCAGCCCUUGCUCCAUGGAUGAUUACGUCCCCGGAUGACUGUUCCUCAGCAGUGUUUCAUCUCCCUGCUUGCGCUCACUGUGUUCUGAUGGACCUUUGCUCAGAUAUCUGCAACGACUCGGCUUGCCAACCUCCGAGUCUGGCGCCAGAAACGGACGAUCUCGCAGGUCCGUUGCCUUUUCGACCUUCGAUCCCUUUCAAUCGACGCUAUGUCCGAACCCGCAUCGCCGUCUAUGCCCAGCCCGUGCCUCCAGGGGGGAGGUGAUCAUCCAGAUAUCCCUGUCCUCCGGCCAAGGCGUCCCUUGGUCCACAACGACUCUCCCUCGGGUUCCCGCCUCUUGCUCGCUUUCUGCGGAAUGUAUCGUGCAUGGAAGUCAAUCACUGCGGCCUGCCCUUCUCGAUCUUCACUCCGUGUAAGGACUCUGUUCCGUGUUGAUGUUCAUCAUUGUCCCACUGUGACCACUAGUGGAUGAAAAGUGGGCGGUGCCACUGCUGCUCACCCUACCACAUUGAGACUUAUCCCAGCGAUCUUUGGAUCCACCCAGGGCUACCAGCUAUUCAUGAAAUGUUGUGCAACGCAUUUGUGCUGGUGAUUUAUAGCCUAGUAAUGUACAGAGCUGUUUGAAGAAUAAUUUAAUGGUUUGUAGAAUCUACCAGUUUAAAAGCAAUGGUAUGCUGUGCUUUACGGCGCUUCUCGUGUUUUUAACGACUGUGAAAUAUAUUGGACCAAUGUCGUCGAUUAAAUUAUGCAAGUGUAACGUUUGGUGUAACAUUUCACCAUCAUGCUCAUGUUUCACCACCAUAUACAAUCACAGUGCGAUUGAUCGGCCCAUCUACAUAUUUUUGUUUGCCAUAAUGCAGGCAUCCAUUCACAUUGUGCAACGUAGUGGCAUAUUGAUGCUCUUUUGCAUUAAAUUGCAUGGAAAGUAGAGCAACUUGGUACGGAUUCAGCUUCUAUCACUCUGCACGGCAGGUAGGCUCCUUCUGUGUGUGCAUGUUUGAGUGUGUGUGUUGCGCAUCUUGGGCGUCUCUUUUUUAUUUCGACACACAACUGAACUCGGUGCUCCUUUGGUUUGGUCUUGAGGUUAUCGUGCGGACGCACUUGGCAGGUUCUCGUUUGUCCAAUUAAGCGGUUCAGCUGAAGAAUCGCCGAUCGUUGUGAGGGUGAUCAAGUCUUCACUUUGGAAUCUGUUCGCUUUGGGCGUCCCGGUUGGAGGGCGUCCGGAGCAUUGGUAUGUGGUCCAGUGCUAGCAUUUGAACAGCUCCAUCUCCGUGCUUGUGGUCCACGAUGUCAUCUAAGUACCACUUACGUCUUUUGGUCCGUACUUGCUGGUAUAUGCUUUCCAACUCGGCAGUCAACUUUGCAUGCUUCGGUCUUGCUUCACCUGUUUGUGAACAUGUAGGAGCAUCAAUAUGCCAAAAGGCGCACAAUGAGACUGGAAGGGUAUGUGGGGGUGGGUCAUAAACAUGGCAAACAAAUCUUGCAGUCUGAUGGGUGUCUGCUUCAACAUGUAUGACGCGUAAUGCUUACCAUUUUAUUUAGUCUGGUACGGUAUUGUUCUAUAUGAAUUUCUAGGAAACGUAUACAGGGGCCAGGGGACAAUAAGCACCAUGUGGCAGCAAAACGGUGUACUGUAAUUUUUGAGUAAAGACUGCUUGUUUCUCGGUGAAGUUCGAGAAUGUUAACAGAUUGUUAAUCAGGGAAUCGUACGUACGUGCUGUUCAGCACAUUUGAAUGUUGUUGAAGUUGUUUUUUUUGACAGAUUGGUUUCCUUCAAGCUAUACGUGUGCACAAUGUGCUUAUG